GUGGGCGGGAGAGGAGUCCGAGAAGGUUUUGGAAACUGAAUCACUACUGAGUUGAACCAUGGCUGUCACUAGCCACGGGUACUGCUGAUUAUAAGGCCAGUAAAAAAAAUUAGUACCUGGAUGUUUGACUCUAAUUUUUUGCACUGAUGGUGCCAAAGGGCUCUGAGUCCCAUGCGGAGCUGAGGGAGGGCAGAGGAAAGUGUGAAGGAGAGCUGCUCGCAUAGCAUCGCUUCAGAGUGCUUUCUCUGACCUCACUGCAUGGCCCUGUCUGUAUGGCGCCAGAACUGGCCUUGGGAGCAGGGGACAGCGCUGAGCAGCGAAGCCUCCGAGGUGCUGACACUGAGGUGCUGACGCCGCUGGUGGCUGCAGUGUGAGCAGCACCUGUGGAGGGCAAGCUGGUCCGAGCUGCGACCUGCAGCUCCUUGAUUCUGAUGGUGUUCAGUGGCUUUCUUUGUGCAUUUGGUAAAUAUGUUUUUGGAGUGUUCUGUAAAAAAGAAAAAAAUCAUUUGUCAAAUCUAAAUUCUGUUAAGAAGGAGUUCACAUGUUGCUUACAUCAUGCAGGGGGGGGGCCUCUGAACUCUGGGGGCAUCAGGAUGUAAUUUAUUCUCCCCUUAAUGCCCCUCUACACAAAGGAAGUGCAUUGUUGCCAAGGAUAGCCCCCCAGCUGCUCUUAUGAACACCUCUACAACUUAACAAGCUCAUCUUCUGGGUCCAGAUUUUCGUCUUUGCCCUUGAGAAUGCCACUGAGUUCUUAGGUCGAUCGGCCAGGAUCCCUGUACCUCAUCUACAAAUUGGAAUCAUAUUUUGAGUCAUAGUCAACCAUAACUCAUAAUGGGGCUUUGAAAUUUUGGAGUAGAACCUAAUAUAUAAGUGAAGUUUGGGAUUUGGAACUCCCUGUAUCUCUUAGGAGAAGCAAGUAGAGACCGAAUGGUUACGUUGUCUUCCAGGCAGCCUCUUACACUACACCAUCUGGGUAGCUCAUCAGGAGAAAAUGCAGACAGCAGUGUUCCGUCUUCACACACUACAGUCCCUCCAGGGUGACCGAGCGCAGCUCAGCCGGAACCCUGUUCUCCUGGAUGUUUACUUUUCUGGAUCUCAGCCUCUCCGAGUUACAGCAGGGCUCACUGGAAAGGUGCUUCGGCAUUGCUCCAGCACUUGCAAAUAAGUGCAUGUCAUAUCAUCACAUCUUCACAUGAAACCUCAAAAUGAAGAACAACACCAACAAACCACUUGUGAGAGCUUUUUGUUUCGUUUCGUUUCGUUUUGUUUUGUUUUUAAUCUAUCAGCCUUACUUCUUGCCUGUCCCCUCCCUCUCUGGCCUCCCGUGCCUUCCAUUUCAUUUUGGCCAUUAGAAUCACAUCCGUUUGACUUUGACAUUGAGUCUCCCUUCCAUGUUGGUGACAACAGAUAUUCCCCCUGUCCUGGAAUGAGAUGGUCAUUGUCAUAGUCCCCUCAAAGGUGGGUGACAAGAAGGUGCUGUGGGUGAACUUCUGCCCUGAAGAGCGCUAGGCAAGCAAGGGGGCUCAGCAUCUUCUGCAGAGCCAGAAAGCCAUGUUUGCGAUGGGUGCAACCUGUGACCCUGCUCUCUUGUGAGCAUAGUGGCUCUUUUGUCACUAAAUGGCAGGUUAUAUGUGAUGUGUCACCCUUUCAGAGAAAAGACCUAACCAAACCAAACCAGCAAACCCUUCAAGUACUGUAAUUUAAAGGAUGGCUGUGACCCCCCACCCCCAGUCUAGUUUCAUAGCAGCUAACUGGACUGUCGGAGCUCAGCUGCUCUCACAACCUAAAUUGUAACUAUCGAUCUGUCAUGUGGCAGGUUGUUCCAUGAAUAUUUUUUCCUUUGUUUUCCCCCAACAACUUUUAAUGACCUCUAGAAAGAACAAGUCCUCUUUUAGAAAGUAUUUUGUUUCUUUGUCUUUGGGGGAGGGAAGAAGAGAAAAGUCCUUGUUGCCGGAAUUUUUUAAGAAGCUAAAGACUUUAAGUAUGCUGCCUCUGAUGCUGUCCGUCUACUUUCCAGUCUGCUCCUUGGCAUUGCCAAGGCCUGAGACUGGCACUCUGCCCAAGCAGCCUCUCUGCAGCCACCUGAGCUGGCUCUGUACUUCUUUCCCUCCAUGUGGCAGAAGGCACCAAAGGUCCUCAAAUACAAACUUAGCGACACCUUGCAGAAGUUUCUGUCCUGUAGAUCAUGGUUUCUUUUUU
rnacentral:lncRNA from 1 species